rnacentral:rRNA from 1 species
GAUGAACGCUGGCGGCGUGCCUAAUACAUGCAAGUCGAGCGAACAGACGAGGAGCUUGCUCCUCUGACGUUAGCGGCGGACGGGUGAGUAACACGUGGAUAACCUACCUAUAAGACUGGGAUAACUUCGGGAAACCGGAGCUAAUACCGGAUAAUAUAUUGAACCGCAUGGUUCAAUAGUGAAAGACGGUUUUGCUGUCACUUAUAGAUGGAUCCGCGCCGCAUUAGCUAGUUGGUAAGGUAACGGCUUACCAAGGCAACGAUGCGUAGCCGACCUGAGAGGGUGAUCGGCCACACUGGAACUGAGACACGGUCCAGACUCCUACGUGAGGCAGCAGUAGGGAAUCUUCCGCAAUGGGCGAAAGCCUGAAGGAGCAACGCCGCGUGAGUGAUGAAGGUCUUCGGAUCGUAAAACUCUGUUAUUAGGGAAGAACAAAUGUGUAAGUAACUAUGCACGUCUUGACGGUACCUAAUCAGAAAGCCACGGCUAACUACGUG